UACAUGGGGUGCAAACGUUGCUCGGAAUUAUUGGGCGUAAAGCGCGCGUAGGCGGUUACUUAAGUUGGAUGUGAAAGCCCUCGGCUUAACUGAGGAAGUGCAUCCAAAACUGAGUAGCUAGAGUACGAAAGAGGGUCGCGGAAUUCCCGGUGUAGAGGUGAAAUUCGUAGAUAUCGUAAGGAAGACCAGUGGCGAAGGCGGGUCUCUGGACAGUUCCUGACGCUGAGGCACGAAGGUCAGGGGAGCAAACGGG
rnacentral:rRNA from 1 species